rnacentral:lncRNA from 1 species
GAUUAGAUCCCUUAAUUUCUCUAUUGUGGAUGACUGGAGACCAUGGUAUGUUGAUGGACAAGUUGGAGGGUAAGUCAUUUUUUCUCCUGCAUGGUAAGAGUGCUUAAUACUGGACCCAAGUGGAACUCAGACAUGCAACUUUCACCCUCAGGGGAAAAUACAUAAAUCAGUCUGACAUUACACAUAUAUGUUAUGUCCAUAUAUACAAUGUUGUACUCAACUAACCUCACAUUUGCAACGGUGAAGGGCACUGGAUGUUCGUAGUUUCAUCUAAAUUUGCAAUUAGGUGCUCGUUUUCUUGGUUUGGUAUAUCAAAUGACAUGGUUGCUGUGUGAUACAAUGUGCAGUAAAGAAGAGCCAUACUGACCAUGUAUAGCCCAGAGAAAGAAAUCAACUGAUAAAUAGAUAAACGAACAAAAGCUUAACAGGUCAAUAAGUACAUUCAUAUGAUAAAUAGACUGCCAAAUAGAUAGAUCUAUUCAUAGACGAAAUUACCGAACAAUUAAAUAGCCGCACGUGAGUAGUGACUUACUGAUAUGCAAGUACGACUUUAGAGAUG